AGGGCAGAGCGUGAGGGGAGCCGGCGCUGUCGUGGUUACCUUUACUACUCGGGCACAGUCGAGCUGACUGGACUCUCCAAGGGGUCGCCAUCCCGAAGCUGCGGAAGCUUGGGUUCCCAGCCUGACGCGAAUAGAGCCCGAGUCCCAAUCCCAGAGGGAAUCGCUCUCCGCAGACCAGUGGGACCCCGAAACUUGAACGCAAACCCCCUUUUCAAGCCUUUGUCACUUCCCCAGCUUUCUCCCAACGCGUUCUUUUUUCCCCCUUCCUCUCCAUUCUCUCUUCUCCGAAGGACACAAAAGUGGCUUCCGCUGAAAGAUUAGGAGGCGGUGGGAGCUUUUCCCUUUGGAGAGCGAUUGUGUAGGAAGGAUUUUCGGGAAGCUGCUUUUUAACACCACUGCUCUUUGCUUUCCGAGCUUCCCUGUAACCCUCUGAGGUAAAAACCCCGUAGCUUGAAAGUUCGGGGUAUUUUGUUGGGUGCUUUAGGAGGAGAGAAGAGGAGGACCUUGUCCUCAUCCUAGUAGUUUGGCUGGACUUGUACUGGCCGUUGGAAACCCCCAAGUACAUUUCCGUGUGGAACUUUUGCAAAUAUAUAUUUAGAUUUUAAAUAUCAGAUAAAAGAUAUAUAUGCUUUUUAUAUAUUUCCCGACGACCUGCCCCUGACAGCGCGAUGUACAAUACGGUGUGGAGUAUGGACCGCGAUGACGCAGACUGGAGGGAGGUGAUGAUGCCCUAUUCGACAGAACUGAUAUUUUAUAUUGAAAUGGAUCCUCCAGGUAUUUGAGAGCAAACUUGUUAUUUUUAUUAUUUUUUAAAAUUUUUGGAUGGGUCUGAUUUGUGCUUAACAAAACCCCGGUGACGUUUUCAGGCCAGAAGUAUUCUUGGGUGCGCCAGGUUCGGGAUGAGGGGUAGAUUGCAGUUAUAGCUGCAGUAAAACUGCUCUGGCUUACACCUUUAAAGUUUGCAGUUAGGACCCUGAUCCCAUUGUCCUGAGGGGGUGGGGGCGGGGGGACUGGAGUGGGAGGAAAGACCCGUUUUGGUUUGGCCUUUGCAUGUCAUUCAGGGUUUUGACGGCCCUCCACUUUUUUUUUUUUUUUUAAUCAAGAUUUCUGCUGGCAAGGGAUGUAUUAUAAUCCAUGCUUGAAGAAUUUCCCUUUGUGGCGAUUCCUUAAAGCUUAUACUUUAGUGCAGUUAUCUGCUAUGGUUCGUUGUUAUUUUACCUUGGUUAACUUUAGAAACUGAGUUGCCUUUGUGAUUAUUCAUUUUGAGACUCCGUGCUUCUCUCAGCCUCGAACUCAGAAAUCCGCCUGCCUCUGCCUCCUGAGUGCUGGGAUUAAAGGCGUGCGCAUCCACGCCCGGCUUAAGAUGUUUAUCCUUAAAUGAAAUUCUGUAUACUAAAUAUUCAGAACACUGAAAAUACAGUUAUACUGUGUUUUAUAUCCUUACUAGGAUAUGAAAGAAGCUGCUUUUAAAUAUGCUGAAACACUGACUAUAAAUUGAAUUCAUUUUCUUUCCUUCUUCUUUUUUUUUUUUUUGUCUGUUUGAUUUUGAGAUACUAGAUUGUCCCUGUCUGGUGUAGAACUCAAUAUAUGUAGACUAGGUUGGCCUUGAACUCACAGAGAUCCACUUGCCUCUGCUUUCCAAGUGCUAAGAUUAAAGGAGUAAGCCACCAUACCUGGUCUAAAAUGAAUAUGAUUUUAACAUGUGCAUUACAUUUUCUCAUUAUUUUAAUUGUUUAAUGCCAAAUUAUAUUUUAUUUAAGUUAUCAGAAACCAUAAUAAUUACUUCAGAGCAGUUCUUUGAUUACCAGUGAAGAAACAAAAACAGCUAAAUAAGACAUAUCUUUUUUUUUUUUCAAAACCAAGAUACAAUGAUACUAACAUUUUUUCUUUGAUAGUUUUAUACAAUACUUUUUUGAUUAUAUUCAGUUCCCCUUACCGACUCUCCCCAGUUCCAGCCCCCUUUGAUUGGCAGCAUGUUUGUGUCCAUCUUUUUCCUAGCCUUCUAUCCUAACAAAAAGUUCUUUCUCUAAUCUUCUAAAUU
rnacentral:lncRNA from 1 species